GGAAGACACACUGGUUGUGAGACCAGCCCCACUCCAAGGUUUUUGCUGGGUCUCCAGACAGGAUCUCCCUAUUUAUCCCAGCCCGCUGGAACUCACUAUGUAGCCCAAGCUGACUUUAAACUUGACAAUCCACCUGCCUCACCUUCUCAACAAUUAGCUUUUCUUAAUAAAUUUCAAGUUUGCUUCA